GUUUGCCAUGGAUUUGCUCUGUUUGUUGCAGUCUCCAUCGGAGCUAACAUCUCCGGUGGCCACGUCAACCCGGCGGUGACGUUCGGGCUUCUUCUUGGAGACCAAAUCAGCCUUAUUACCACCAUUUUUUACUGGAUCGCUCAGCUUCUUGGCUCCAUUGUCGCCUGCUACCUUCUCAAAUAUGUCACCGGCGGCCUUGCGGUUCCGGUCCACAGCGUUGCCGCCGGCGUAGGAGCGGCG
rnacentral:misc_RNA from 1 species